UGUUACUGCCAGGACCCAUAUGUAAAAGAAGCAGAAAACCUUAAGAAAUAUUUAAUGCAGGUCAUUCAGAUGUAGCGGAUAAUGGAACUCUUUUCUUAGGCAUUUUGAAGAAUUGGAAAGAGAGAGUGACAGAAAAAUAAUGCAGAGCCAAAUUGUCUCCUUUUACUUCAAACUUUUUAAAAACUUUAAAGAUGACCAGAGCAUCCAAAAGAGUGUGGAGACCAUCAAGGAAGACAUGAAUGUCAAGUUUUUCAAUAGCAACAAAAAGAAACGAGAUGACUUCGAAAAGCUGACUAAUUAUUCGUAACUGACUUGAAUGUCCAACGCAAAGCAAUACAUGAACUCAUCCAAGUGAUGGCUGAACUGUCGCCAGCAGCUAAAACAGGGAAGCGAAAAAGGAGUCAGAUGCUGUUUCGAGGUCGAAGAGCAUCCCA
rnacentral:lncRNA from 1 species